UACAGGGGUCUCGAGCGUUAAUCGGAAUCACUGGGCUUAAAGGGUGCGCAGGCGGACCAGAGGGUGUUUCGUGAAAGCCCCCGGCUCAACCGGGGAACUGCGAAGCAAACCGCUGGUCUUGAGGUGGGUAGGGGUCGUUGGAACGCUCGGUGGAGCGGUGAAAUGCGUAGAUAUCGAGCGGAACGGCGAAGGUGAAGACAAGCGACUGGGCCCAUUCUGACGCUCAUGCACGAAAGCGUGGGGAUCAAACAGG
rnacentral:rRNA from 1 species